rnacentral:rRNA from 1 species
AUUGAACGCUGGCGGCAUGCCUUACACAUGCAAGUCGAACGGUAACGCGGGGCAACCUGGCGACGAGUGGCGAACGGGUGAGUAAUGCAUCGGAACGUGCCCAGUAGUGGGGGAUAGCCCGGCGAAAGCCGGAUUAAUACCGCAUACGACCUACGGGUGAAAGGGGGGGAUCGCAAGACCUCUCGCUAUUGGAGCGGCCGAUGUCAGAUUAGGUAGUUGGUGGGGUAAAGGCCUACCAAGCCGACGAUCUGUAGCUGGUCUGAGAGGACGACCAGCCACACGGGGACUGAGACACGGCCCAGACUCCUACGGGAGGCAGCAGUGGGGAAUUUUGGACAAUGGGCGCAAGCCUGAUCCAGCCAUGCCGCGUGCGGGAAGAAGGCCUUCGGGUUGUAAACCGCUUUUGUCAGGGAAGAAACGCUCCGGGCUAAUACCUCGGGGUAAUGACGGUACCUGAAGAAUAAGCACCGGCUAACUACGUGCCAGCCGCCGCAGUAAUAC